CCAGUCGCCAUCUCCACUUUGGCCAAAUAUCGGGGUUGCCAAGGACAUCCAGGCCAAGAUGAGCUUCAUCCAAAACUGCCACAUGGUAGCCUGAGCAGAGAAAGAUGGACAACCAUCUAAACUGCACAAAAAUCCAGUAUGCGGAGGAGACGCAAGUGUGACGUUUGUUCAUUUUAAGGAGGUAGUGGCACUUUUUGAAAAGCUCUGUAAAUAAGAUGAAUUUAUGGCUGGAAACAUCUUGGAAAUAUAAAGUAGAGUACUUGCUCACAAUCACUGGCUCUAAUGUUUUUGUUGUUUUUUUCAGCUGUCACUUUUAAGCGCUCUACUCUUCACAUCUGGUCCAUCAGCAGAGCUCGUACUCCAAUUUACCUGUUUUCAGUUCUACUUUUUGUAUCUUCAGCACUGUGCAAAUGGCAAUAAUGUUUGUUCAAAAUCACUUUCUCAAGACGUAAUGAUACUGAAAUAUUUCCAGAAAUGUUCAUCUUCUUUAUAUUCUUUUCCACAAACCAGCUGAGAAGUAAAUGUGGCUACGAUUCUUCUCCAAUACUUACAAGGUUCAUAAAUCUGACUCUCUGAAUGUCACACUGCAUAUUUUAGCAGCAAUCAUAUUUUUCUAUGUACAAUUUAUCAGGCAACCUUUUUUUGGUUGAACUUUUGUUAAAUGCCACAUGCAGAUUAUAAAAUAAUAUAUACACAGUAUGUCUUAUUUUGCUACAUACAGGUUGCUGCUAUCUGAGUGACUUCUAUUUAAUAGAAAGACUUGCUUUAGAGACUCUUACUACGGGUAAGUAAAUCUAUCCAUCUACCAAUUAAAUUCAGUUUACUAUACAAGUCAUUUUAUCUGCACAAACAAUUUUUCUUUCUUUUCGUUUGAGGUCUCUAAAUGUGCAGAGCUGGUAGAGGAAUAUCACAAAAUCCUUCCGGCUGUCACUGCAGCAGAGGGUUAGGCUACAGCGUCGGUUCGGACUAAAUACACACUUGUGCAACAAUUUUCCUCCCUCUUUACAACUGCACACUAUUUUAAUCAAUAACAUAAAGUCUCAUUGUCUAUACUCGCCUAUACCUGCAUGGUCACAUGGAGUCUGGUGCCUAUCUACAAUAGUCACUGCGUUAGAGGCAUGGAUACAUCCUGGACAUGCAGUCAGUCCAUCACAUGGUAACCCAAAGGCACAGGACAAACAACCAUGAACACACACUUGUUGCUAAGCCCAUUUAACUUAUAUAUUUGGGCUAUGGGAACAAGCCAGAGUACCCAGAGAGAACUCUCGUGUGCAAUGUCCGGAAAAUGCAAACUCCAUGCAGAAAGAUCUGGAAUCAAGACCAGUAUCUUUUUCCUGCAAGGCAGCAGUUCUAACAACUGCACAACCAUGCAACCCCUUCAAAAUAUGUGUAUGAAAUCUCAAAUGUAUUUUGGAAUCCUCAGAAGAUUAAAAUUUUACUGUAAAUGGAUGCAUCAACAGUUAUCAUGUCUCUCUAUUUCUGUUGUGAGAAGUAAAAUGGUUAAAUUUAGUCUUUCAGUGGAUUUAUAUCAUUGUUAUAUAAAACGUUAUUGCACAAAACUGUGCCGCCUCAGCUGUGGAGUAGUAAUAAGCUUUUCACAUUCUGUGGCUAGACUAUGUGGUGACUCGUGUCACGCCAAGGCUGUGAAAGCUGAAACUUCUCCUUACAGUACAGUUUCUGUUGUUUCCAGUGGCUUUCUAAGGAUCUUUCUUGUGAAUGUGAAGUCAGGAAGUUGUUUUUUUUGUUUUUCUGGAUACAAAAAGAAACAAUCUGGGUUUUUUUUUUCAAACUACAGUUUUUGAUUAACUUAUGUGGCUAUCUAGGUUUCUCACUUCAGCAUCUGGAAAUGGAAAAUAUUUAAAGGCAUCCACCCUAAACUGCUUACAGAGAUCUUUCUGCUGUCAGAUCACAUUUGGAUUUGGCUCAAACCUUUUUAAACUCCUCAAAGCUGAGAGGAAAGUCUGGUUAGUUAUUAGCUAUCAGUACAUCUUGUUCUGAAAUCUGCUGAAACAUACAUAAUAAAAUAGAGUGCUUAUUUUAAGGCAACUCGUGGUGUGGAAAGACACCCAGACACUCAUAAAACAACCGAGAGGGUUCCCUCUGCGUUUAAAUGGCAACUUCAAUUAAGUUUCAGUGGUUUUUUGUGGAAAUAUGUUCAAAUAGGAUUACUUUGGGACAACGAGGUAUAUAUACUGAUAUCAUAGUAAUGCUUUUUUGCGGAUGUUUAUGGUUACAGUUGGGAUGACCUGACAUGUAAAAUAAAAGCAGAUUUAAUGA